rnacentral:rRNA from 1 species
AAUAGAUACCCCGGUAGUCCCAGCUGUAAACGAUGCAGACUCGGUGAUGCAUUGGCUUGUGGCCAAUGCAGUGCCGCAGGGAAGCCGUUAAGUCUGCCGCCUGGGAAGUACGUACGCAAGUAUGAAACUUAAAGGAAUUGGCGGGGGAGCACCACAAGGGGGUGAAGCCUGCGGUUCAAUUGGAGUCAACGCCAGAAAUCUUACCCGGAGCGACAGCAGAAUGAAGGUCAAGCUGAAGACUUUACCAGACAAGCUGAGAGGAGGUGCAUGGCCGUCGCCAGCUCGUGCCGUGAGGUGUCCUGUUAAGUCAGGUAACGAGCAAGAUCCCUGCCUCUAGUUGCUACUGCUGGUCUCCGGACUAGCAGGGCUAAUUAGAGGGACCGCCGCCGCUGAGGCGGAGGAAGGAGGGGGCUACGGGCAGGUCAGUAUGCCCCCGAAACUUCCGGGCCACACGCGGGCUGCAAUGGUAAGGACAACGGGCUCCGAUCCCGGAAAGGGGGAGGCAACUCCCACAAACCCUUACCUCAGUUA